rnacentral:lncRNA from 1 species
CUCCGCACCGCCGCCCUCCCGCUGGCAGGAGUCGUCCGACAGCACCAACACCACCAUCGAGGACGAGGACACGAAAGGUGACGGGGGCGUGGAGGGCGGGGGUGGAGCUGGGUGGCACUGGGAUGGCACUGGGAUGCGCUAGGCUGCACUGGAGGACAUUGGAAUGGCACUGGGAUGCACUGGGAUGACAUUGGGAUGCAUUGGAGGGCAUUAGAAUGGCACUAUGGGGCACUGGGGUGCACUGGAAUGGCACUGGGAUGCAUUGGAGGGCAUUGGAACAGCACUGGGAUAGCGCUAAGAAGUACUGGUGUGCAUUGGAAUGGCACUGGGAUAAAGCUGGAAUGCAUUGGGAUGCAUUGGAAUGGCACUGGGAUGGCGCUGGGAUGCAUUGGGAUGCAUUGGAGUGGCACUGGGAUGGCGCUGGGAUGCACCGGGAUGGUGCUAAGAGGCACUGGGAUGCAUUGGAAUGGCACUGGGAUGCACCGGGAUGGUGCUAAGAGGCACUGGGAUGCAUUGGAAUGGCACUGGGAUGGAGCUGGGAUAUGUUGGAAUUAUGUUGGAAUGGCACUGGGAUGGAGCCAGGAUACACUGGGAUGUACUGGGAUGGUACCAGGGUGCACUGGGAUGGACGUAGGAUACGUUGCAAUGGCACUGGGAUGCACUGGGAUGCACUGGGAUGGCACCAGAACGCGUUAAGGUGCAUUAGGCUGGCAUGAGAAUGCACUGGGGCACGUUGGGCUAACACUGGGAUGCACUGGGGCAUGGUGGCAUGGCACUGGGAUGAACUGGCAUGCCCUGGGGUGCCAUAGAGCUGUACUGGGGUAUGCUGGAGUGGCACUGGGGUGUACUGGGGUGGCACUGGAAGGCAUUGAGAUGCACAGGAUGCAAUAAGUUGGCACUGGGAUGCACUGGAAUGACUCGGGGAUGCAGCGGGAUGGCAC